rnacentral:rRNA from 1 species
GCCCUAUAACCACAAUAUGAGGUGAAACCUGCUCCAUGGCUGUAUAUAAAUUAUAAAAACAGUUAAAUAGCCGCGGUAACUCUGACCGUGAUAAAGUAGCAUAAUCACUUGUCACUUAAUUGGUGACUAGAAUGAAUGGUUUAACGAAUUUACAUCUGUCUCUAAGAGAAAUUUAGAAAAAUUGAAUUAACAGUGAAGAUACUGUUUAUUAAUUGAAAGACGAAAAGACCCUAUUGAGCUUUACUAUAUGUUUAUACAUUAUAACACAUAAUAAAGGUAUAAGACUAUAACCUGUAAACAAGUUAGUUUGGUUGGGGCGACCACCCCUAAAAAAGUAUCAGGGGAACUCUAAUGGUUUUAAUUUAAUAUAAUUAGCCUUACUGAAAAUAUACAUAUUAAACAGUUAUUAAAAUAUAGGAUAUAUUGACCCAUUGAUUUAUUUGAUAAAAUCAAUGAAUAUGAAAAAAGUUACCGUAGGGAUAACAGGGUAAUAUUUUCUAAGAGUUCAUAUUGAUGAAAAUGUUUGCCACCUCGAUGUUGAAUUAUGAUAUCCUAAAGAUGCAGCAGUCUUUAAGGGUUG